rnacentral:rRNA from 1 species
CCUACGGGGGGCAGCAGUGAGGAAUUUUCGUCAAUGGGGGCAACCCUGAACGAGCAACGCCGCGUGCAGGAUGACACUUUUCGGAGCGUAAACUGCUUUUCUGGGGGAAGAGAACGGACGGUACCCCAGGAAGAAGCCCCGGCUAACUACGUGCCAGCAGCCGCGGUAAUACGUAGGGGGCAAGCGUUGUCCGGAGUUACUGGGCGUAAAGCGCCCGCAGGCGGUCGUCUAAGUUCAGACUGACAAUCCCCAGCUUAACUGGGGAGGGUGUAUGAAAACUGGACGACUUGAGGGAUAGAGAGGGACAUGGAAUUCCGGGUGGAGUGGUGAAAUGCGUAGAUAUCCGGAGGAACACCAAAGGCGAAGGCAAUGUCCUGGCUAUUUCCUGACGCUGAGGGGCGAAAGCUAGGGGAGCGAACGGGAUUAGAUACCCUGGUAGUC